rnacentral:rRNA from 1 species
GAGUGCGAUCAUACCAGCUUUAAUGCACCGGAUCCCAUCAGAACUCCGUAGUUAAUUGUGCUAGGGUGAGAGUAGUACUAGGAUGGGUGACCUCGUAGGAAGUCCUCGUGUUGUAGCUG